rnacentral:rRNA from 1 species
GUCAAUGGACGAGAGUCUGAACCAGCCAAGUAGCGUGCAGGAUGACGGCCCUAUGGGUUGUAAACUGCUUUUAUAAGGGAAUAAAGUGAGUCUCGUGAGACUUUUUGCAUGUACCUUAUGAAUAAGGACCGGCUAAUUCCGUGCCAGCAGCCGCGGUAAUACGGAAGGUCCGGGCGUUAUCCGGAUUUAUUGGGUUUAAAGGGAGCGUAGGCCGGAGAUUAAGCGUGUUGUGAAAUGUAGAUGCUCAACAUCUGAACUGCAGCGCGAACUGGUUUCCUUGAGUACGCACAAAGUGGGCGGAAUUCGUGGUGUAGCGGUGAAAUGCUUAGAUAUCACGAAGAACUCCGAUUGCGAAGGCAGCUCACUGGAGCGCAACUGACGCUGAAGCUCGAAAGUGCGGGUAUCGAACAGGAUUAGAUACCCUGGUAGUCCGCACGGUAAACGAUGGAUGCCCGCUGUUGGUCUGAAUAGGUCAGCGGCCAAGCGAAAGCAUUAAGCAUCCCACCUGGGGAGUACGCCGGCAACGGUGCAACUCAAAGGAAUUGACGGAA